rnacentral:rRNA from 1 species
GACGAACGCUGGCGGCGUGCCUAAUACAUGCAAGUCGAACGAACUCUGGUAUUGAUUGGUGCUUGCAUCAUGAUUUACAUUUGAGUGAGUGGCGAACUGGUGAGUAACACGUGGGAAACCUGCCCAGAAGCGGGGGAUAACACCUGGAAACAGAUGCUAAUACCGCAUAACAACUUGGACCGCAUGGUCCGAGUUUGAAAGAUGGCUUCGGCUAUCACUUUUGGAUGGUCCCGCGGCGUAUUAGCUAGAUGGUGGGGUAACGGCUCACCAUGGCAAUGAUACGUAGCCGACCUGAGAGGGUAAUCGGCCACAUUGGGACUGAGACACGGCCCAAACUCCUACGGGAGGCAGCAGUAGGGAAUCUUCCACAAUGGACGAAAGUCUGAUGGAGCAACGCCGCGUGAGUGAAGAAGGGUUUCGGCUCGUAAAACUCUGUUCUUAAAGAAGAACAUAUCUGAGAGUAACUGUUCAGGUAUUGACGGUAUUUAACCAGAAAGCCACGGCUAACUACGUGCCAGCAGCCGCGGUAAUACGUAGGUGGCAAGCGUUGUCCGGAUUUAUUGGGCGUAAAGCGAGCGCAGGCGGUUUUUUAAGUCUGAUGUGAAAGCCUUCGGCUCAACCGAAGAAGUGCAUCGGAAACUGGGAAACUUGAGUGCAGAAGAGGACAGUGGAACUCCAUGUGUAGCGGUGAAAUGCGUAGAUAUAUGGAAGAACACCAGUGGCGAAAGCGGCUGUCUGGUCUGUAACUGACGCUGAGGCUCGAAAGUAUGGGUAGCAAACAGGAUUAGAUACCCUGGUAGUCCAUACCGUAAACGAUGAAUGCUAAGUGUUGGAGGGUUUCCGCCCUUCAGUGCUGCAGCUAACGCAUUAAGCAUUCCGCCUGGGGAGUACGGCCGCAAGGCUGAAACUCAAAGGAAUUGACGGGGGCCCGCACAAGCGGUGGAGCAUGUGGUUUAAUUCGAAGCUACGCGAAGAACCUUACCAGGUCUUGACAUACUAUGCAAAUCUAAGAGAUUAGACGUUCCCUUCGGGGACAUGGAUAC